ensembl:antisense Gm26879 predicted gene, 26879
ACAAGUCUUGCAAAAGUGCCCUCGGCCGGGCGCGGGUGUCCCGCGUCGCCUCAGUUCGCCCGCUACCACACACGCCUCCGGCUCACCACCCUGAGUUGCUUUCGGUUUCUGAGGAGCCGGGACGGUUAGCUCACCCGGACUUCGCCACUUGCGGGGCUCGCGGAGCUCCGCUGGCGCCCUACGGCGGCGGGCACUAGGCUGCUUCGCCUCAGCAGCGGGUCCACAGUAAUUGCAGCCUGUAUGAACGAAGUGAACUAGCAUCUCAAAUCUAACCUCUUCCAAGUCAGACAAACGCGGGAAAUACUUAGCUGUCUUGAGCAUCAAAUGUUCAUCACGGAGAGAAGAGAGUACUAGGGCCCUUGCAGUGGACACAGGCUACAGUGGAAAGCCUGCUCAUCAGGUGGCUCGUGUAAAGGAUGGCAAGCAGCAAUCCCCAGCAGAAAGCAAGCCUCUGAUUGUGGUGUGCAUAGAAGACUUGCUGGCUUACCAAGUGUAUUGCACCAACACCUUGUUUGUAAAGAAAAUUGCAACACAUCCCUCAGAUACAGCACCUAAGCCACAGAUACUGAACAUCUGGACAGAUGCUGGUGCUGAACAACUUGACUGACAUCUCCCACAGACUGUACUGCAGGUCUACUGACGAGAGACAAGACGAUGAAAGCUGUCACGGUAUAAUAUGCACGUACACAAGACAAGUGCUUUCAAAAAUGCUCUAGACAGUUUAAGAUACAUAACCGUCUUCCAUGGCUUUUAAAGUAAAAAUAAGUAUAAAUUCUCUAUUAUUAUUUUUAGAUCAGUUACAUUUUAUACGGGGCAUAAACUAUUAAGGUGAUCUGAUGAGAAAAAAAAAAGGGCCUUUUCUGCAAGCCACUUUCAAUCACAUCAGAAUAGAGGGUCCUUUUGAAGGGAAAGCUGAAAAUUAAAAUUGACCAAUGGGCUGGAGAGCCCAUAAAGGGAUUAUUUUUUUCCAGUACUUAAGGAAACAUGACCCCUCUGAUGUGGGCAGCCUGCGGCCCUAGCAAGUGUCCCUCUACAGCAAGCCAUGCUUCCCAUAUGAAGUCAUUCUAUCAAAGCUGUCAGUAACACGCUGUUGAAACUCCGCCAUAGUAAAAUAUUCUUUGUGGGUGCUAAUGACUUUGCAUUGGAAUAAAAAGGCCUUAAGCCUCUGUUUCUUC